CACGCUGUGGCUGACGUCCUCGCUCACCCCGAACGUUACUCGGGGCAGAACUUCCAGGGGCCCGACAGGAGGGACUAUCCUAAAUACUGGGAAGCGUCGUCCAGCAAGGAGUCACGCCUCCUUAAACCUGAGACUCCAUACCUGCUCACCCUGCGUGUGGGGCCCCGGAGCAGAGCUUCCGCCCCGUCAAGGCAGCACCAACCCAAGGCCCGAAUCACGGGGACUCCCAGUAACGGUCUGAAGUGAAUGAAUCUGCCGAAGACAACUGGUUCGUGUGAGCAGAGCUCCUCAGAGAUGAAUUCAUAAACCAGAGUUGGCUUGAAACAUGGGAGCGUCUGCUUUAAACAUCCAGUUCCACCGGGAAGAGGCGAUUUUCCACCAGGCUCAGAACCCAAUGAGCUUUCUCCCAUCUUCUGUCUCCUGUAUCACUUGAGAGGACUCAGAUGACCCUGUCCCCGUCUAUCUACGUGGACCCUUCCUUUCUUUGGAGCGUUCUUCUCUGACCACCCACCAUUGAGAAGCACCCUACAGGCACGAGAGGACCUGAAAUUUUGAAUGUUAUCACCCAGCACAGGAGGGUAGGUGGUAGGCAGCAAGGCAUGGGGCGCAGGCCUCUGUCGCUCCAUAUGGCACAGGAAGAUGCUUUUUGCAAAGGGCACUGACAAGUUAGGGCAACACCAGGUAGGUUCAGCAUCAAGACAACCUUGUUUGGGGGCCUGAAGGGACAGCGCCUGUGGACUGUUUACUGGUCUGUCCGAUCCAGGCUUGGUAAACCCUAGUAAAGCUGACAAGAAAAGGGUUUUAAAAACCUCAGUACAAAAGAUCCUCUAACACAUUUGAAACCAAUUUAUCUGUUCUUAAAAACACGGUACUAAGUGUCACAAAGCUUUCCCUCC